AUUGCCUACGGGAGGCAGCAGUGGGGAAUAUUGGACAAUGGGCGCAAGCCUGAUCCAGCCAUGCCGCGUGUGUGAAGAAGGCCUUCGGGUUGUAAAGCACUUUUGUCCGGAAAGAAAAGCACCGGGUUAAUACCCUGGUGUCAUGACGGUACCGGAAGAAUAAGCACCGGCUAACUUCGUGCCAGCAGCCGCGGUAAUAAU
rnacentral:rRNA from 1 species